ACUAUCUUUUUUCUUUCGUACGCAUGCGAACACAAAUGUCAAAAUCAGUCACUUGUGUGUUUGCUGUCGAAUGAUAAAAAUUAAGGAAAAUUGUUUUAACAUAAACAUUCCUUAAUUGAAAAUGGAAAGAAAAAUCACGAAAAAACUUCACAGCUGCUGGCACUAGUUGAGUAUAUGGAGGAUAAUCCUAAGUUCGCCAGAGGAGUGCCAAUUUUUGGAAGCAGCAGGCAAUCCCUUGAAGAAGAACUUGAAGAAAGUUCCGAAAUUGCUAAUAAUUUUAAACAAUUUUAUUCUGAAAUUUUUCAAGAAAAUGUACCCACAAACCCUGUAGACGAUCUUAGCUCUAGAGUCACAACAUGCAUCAACGCCGUUCCACCGCACAUUUACUCAUUUGAUGAUAACUUCAAUUCAUUAAACAAUCCAGACUCUUUUCACUUUACCAAUCCUGAAAAGAUAAAAAUCGCAAUUACUAAUAUCAAUUGUAAAAAAUCAAGCGGAGCUGAUGAGAUUUCCAAUUUUCUCAUUAAAAAGUUCCCAGAUAAUGUUAUAAAUCUGCUUACAUGUCUCUUCAACAACUGCAUUAACAAUGGAUAUUUCCCAUCACUCUGGAAAUUGGCGAAAAUUAUUCCCAUAAAGAAGAAAAUAAUUAAUGACAACACUUUGAGCAAUUUUCGUCCAAUAUCACUAUUGUCCAACAUCGGGAAGUUAUUUGAGUCGGUCCUAAAAGAAAAAAUGGAAAACGAAUUACCAGUUAGUCCAAUCUCAGCAUACCAAUUUGGGUUCAAGUCUGGCCAUUCCACACAACACGCGCUUCUGAAGCUCCACAGUGAUAUAACAUCAAACCUAAGGAACCAAGUGUCUACUGUAGCGAUUUCCUUAGACAUACAAAAAGCAUUUGACUCGGUAUGUCACACAGGAGUACUUUACAAGUUAAUCGAAAUUGGUAUAGACCCAUACCUGGUCAAGUUGAUGGCAAGUUUUUUCACUGCACGAAAGUUUUUAAUUAAUAUCAAAAACACGUCGUCAGCCACGGGUUUAGUAAACAGUGGGGUGCCGCAAGGAAGUAUUUUAGCCCCUUACCUUUUCAAUAAUUUUCUGUAUGACUUCCCCCAUAUCGGCCAAGGCUCUCAAGCGAUUUUAUAUGCUGACGACUGCUUAAUUUACAAAACGCCAGAACUCAUCUCCAGAGCAUCCAUGAAUUCUAUCAAAAAUGGGGAAUCAAAAUCAAUGCCGAUAAAUCCGUAGCAAUAUGUUUCCGGAACGCUUCGGGAAAAUGCCCUAGAAACGUUGUUCCAGAGAGUAAAGAACUUCAGCUGUCUCUUGAAGGAGUUGAGAUUCCCUUUAAAACAUCUCUCAAAUACUUGGGUAUUACUCUCACCAAUC